AUUGUUUGCUGGAGGAGAUCUGAGGGGCUUGGGUGCAGUAUGGCUGAGAUAAUUGAGGGAUCCUAUGAAGCCAAAGGACCCACCCCAGGCUGCCAAGCAAACACAAACCAAGCAUCCCUUCUAAUUCCUGGCUGGCACAGAAGAAUAGGAAAGCUGCCCUUGUACAGACGGUGUGUGCAAAAGGGGAAGCAGCUGUGACUUCAUUAGCUGAGUAUCCUUGAGGAGGUGUAUGCAAGAAACUGGUUUCAUCAGGCAACAGCUUAAUAAGAAUGGAUGGAGAUGUGAUACCAAUCUAUUGAGCCAGAAGCAUGACAGAGUGGAAGCCCCUCAAAGGAACUGAGAUAACUUCUGAGGAUUCUUCAUCCACAAGCUGUCCAAUUAGUGCAAGCCCAUGGAUGCCUAAUAGUACUAGUAGCUAAUAGGAUGACCGAGGAAACCUCCACAUAUUUCUCUCCCAGCACUGGAGAAGAAAAAGAAGGCAUGCCACAGCUAAGAUGUGGGUAGUUUAAGAAGGAAAAUGCCUUAACUGUGCAUGAGGGAUGGGGUAGGAACCAACAGGCAUACCCCAGUUACCAAAGCCUCUGACAAUAAGCUACUUUUUACAAAGUCUUUUUAUGCUCACUCAGCUUCUUCCCUUUUGUCCUCUUGUCUAGCUGGAAGAUUGAUUUUAACAGUAUCAGCUAAAGGGGGAUUGUCAAGGAGGCUGGAAAAGCACAGUCUCUCAGUGUUGGGUUGCAGUAGCAGGAUGGCAGUAAACAAGGCAAUAUACUUUGAAAUGGGAAUGUGUGGAAGUCUACUCUAGGCAAUCCUAUUUUUCCUACAUGUGCCUUCUUACAGCAGGCAAGGAAAAAGAAGCUGCCUCCAGAACUGCUUACAGAGCAUGUGUCAAUAGAAAAACAAAGAAAACGAGGGAAUGCAAUAAGCUACCAGCUACCUCCAGUAUGCUGAAGAAAUUUGGCCCCAAAGUGGAAAUUAUAAAGAAAGUGGAGGGUGGUGAAGGGGGAAAAAAUCAUCCUUGGAUCCAUUUUGGAAGAAGCUUACAUGUGGC